GACGAAGGAUGCAAGCGUUAUCCGGAUUUAUUGGGUUUAAAGGGUGCGUAGGCGGGCUAUUAAGUCAGUGGUGAAAGCCCCAAGCUUAACUUGGGAACUGCCAUUGAUACUGAUGGUCUUGAGUACAUUUGAGGUGGGCGGAAUGUGUCAUGUAGCGGUGAAAUGCUUAGAUAUGACACAGAACACCGAUUGCGAAGGCAGCUCACUAAACUGUAACUGACGCUGAGGCACGAAAGCGUGGGGAGCAAACAGG
rnacentral:rRNA from 1 species